UUAAAUGGAGCUUGUAUCAGUUGGCUUUCGUUAACACUGCAAUGAAGUUCGUAGCUACCUGUAUUUUCGUACUUUUUUUUUGUGGACUAUAUCGAAGGCUUAAUCCAUGUGACAACGCUACACGAUGAUAAUCACCCCGGUCGGUGUUAUCCGGUUCGUGUUCGAGGCAAGAACAAGGAACCUGAUACUUAUAUACUUCGACCUGGCGAGGAGGUCAGUCACCAUAGAACUUGUGGCACUACAGUUUGCAUGAAUGGAAAGGGACUGACUUAUAUUUACUAUUGUCCUCGCACUUUGCCAAGCAGCGGCUGUGAAGAUGACACGGCCAUGGAUUCUGUGUUAAAGUUCCCAGAAUGCUGUUGGACCUGUGUCUCAAAUAAAGAUUGUUAUUAAAUUUAAAAUUUUUCCUUCUUAAACCUAUCCACCUGGUAAAACAGAAUAAGAUGAUAAUUAAAACAAAAAACCUUACAUUAUAUAU